rfam:Stegodyphus mimosarum contig22093, whole genome shotgun sequence.
GCCUUCGUGGUGUAGUGGUCAGCGCGCUCGACGCAUAUUCGAGAGGUCCAUGGUUCAAAUCCUGGCGAAGGCA